rnacentral:rRNA from 1 species
UACAGAGGUCUCAAGCGUUGUUCGGAUUCAUUGGGCGUAAAGGGUGCGUAGGUGGCGCUGUAAGUCGGGUGUGAAAUUUCGGAGCUUAACUCCGAAACUGCAUUCGAUACUGCGGUGCUUGAGGACUGGAGAGGAGACUGGAAUUCAUGGUGUAGCAGUGAAAUGCGUAGAGAUCAUGAGGAAGACCAGUGGCGAAGGCGGGUCUCUGGACAGUUCCUGACACUGAGGCACGAAGUCCAGGGGAGCAAACGGG